UCCGUAGGUGAACCUGCGGAAGGAUCAUUACCGAGUGAGGGCCCUCUGGGUCCAACCUCCCACCCGUGUUUAUCGUACCUUGUUGCUUCGGCGGGCCCGCCGCAAGGCCGCCGGGGGGCAUCUGCCCUCUGGCCCGCGCCCGCCGAAGACACCAUUGAACGCUGUCUGAAGAUUGCAGUCUGAGCAAUUAGUUAAAUAACUUAAAACUUUCAACAACGGAUCUCUUGGUUCCGGCAUCGAUGAAGAACGCAGCGAAAUGCGAUACGUAAUGUGAAUUGCAGAAUUCAGUGAAUCAUCGAGUCUUUGAACGCACAUUGCGCCCCCUGGUAUUCCGGGGGGCAUGCCUGUCCGAGCGUCAUUGCUGCCCUCAAGCACGGCUUGUGUGUUGGGCUCCGUCCUCCUUCCGGGGGGACGGGCCCGAAAGGCAGCGGCGGCACCGCGUCCGGUCCUCGAGCGUAUGGGGCUUCGUCACCCGCUCUGCAGGCCCGGCCGGCGCUUGCCGACACAUCAAUCUUUUUUCCAGGUUGACCUCGGAUCAGGUAGGGAUACCCGCUGAACUUAAGCAUAUCAAUAAGCGGAGGA
rnacentral:rRNA from 1 species